UACGGGGGAGCAAGCGUUGUUCGGAUUUACUGGGCGUAAAGGGCGCGUAGGCGGUACGAGCACAAGUCAGUUGUGAAAUCUCCGGGCUUAACUCGGAAAGGUCAACUGAUACUGUGCGACUAGAGUGCAGAAGGGGCAACUGGAAUUCUCGGUGUAGCGGUGAAAUGCGUAGAUAUCGAGAGGAACACCUGCGGCGAAGGCGGGUUGCUGGGCUGACACUGACGCUGAGGCGCGGAAAGCCAGGGGAGCGAACGGG
rnacentral:rRNA from 1 species